UGGUGGCGUGAGUUGUCUGGUUGAUUCCGUUAACGAGCGAGACCUUGACUUACUAAAUAGCUGAUGGAAGAUAUUGCGUUAAUGCUAUAGACCGGUAUUUUCGGAAGGAUCCGUUCCCCGUGAAUAGACGAGUUUGUGGUUGCUUUUUUUCCAUAAAGCUUCUUAGAGGGACUAUUGGUAAAAAGCCAAUGGAAGUUCGAGGCAAAAACA
rnacentral:rRNA from 1 species